rnacentral:rRNA from 1 species
UAGGGAAUCUUCGGCAAUGGACGAAAGUCUGACCGAGCAACGCCGCGUGGGUGAAGAAGGUUUUCGGAUCGUAAAACUCUGUUGUUAGAGAAGAACAAGGGUGAGAGUAACUGUUCACCCCUUGACGGUAUCUAACCAGAAAGCCACGGCUAACUACGUGCCAG